rnacentral:lncRNA from 1 species
GUACGUCAUAUGUUUUUUUACUUUCGUUUUCAACAAAAUGGCCGAUCGUCACAGUUAUUUUGAAGUGUCAAACAAGUUUGUGUCUUGGGGUUAAAAUAGAAUCAGUCAUUGUGAGAAAUUUUGAUUACACUUAAGAGCUGCCAGAGCUAAAACAGCUAAUAAAGAAGCUUUUGACAACUUCUUCUCAUGAUCUGCUUAAUUGAUCUUCACAUUGAAUUGUCAACCUGUGUGCUACAUUGUAUGACUUUGGGCAAAUAAAGAUUCUGUAAUCAGUGUUAUAACUUUCAUUAAACAAGAUGAAUCGGUGUUACAGAAAUGGAUAACCUACAGAAAUAAACAACUUCAGGCUUUCACAGAAACCACACAUUGUUUGUGACUAUGAAAAUGUUUACCUUCAUAAGGCCUAAUACAAUUCUUUGUUUCCGGUAACAUGCUCAACAAAAUUAGGGUAGGUAGGUCGGAAAUGGUCUUUUUUUUUUUGAAUUUUUUGUUAUUAAGGGAGACUUUUCAGAAAAUAUUUUUGUGUCAAAAAUGAA